AGAACAUUACAAAAAAAAAAAGAACGAAAUAAUUUUCUUUAAAAAUAAGAAUAAAAAUCGGUGUGAAUAAAAAAGGGACCCCACAGAGAAACUUCAACCCAUGCAAAGGGUCCAUGGACGAGAGAACAAUAAUGACGUGAAUCACCUGUAAUUGUAUACCUCCAAUCAUUUGCAAACCCCAUAAAUAUAAAUCCUAAAAGCUUUCAUUUCAUUUUUGUAAAAAAACGCGAAUCAUAUAAAAAAAGAAAAAUAAAAACCCUUAAAAGACGGUCUUCACUUUUUGCAUAUUUCAACGCAAUUGCUAGAAAUUUUUACUCUGUUUUCCUUUUUCUAUUUGUUUAUUUUUUUUUCUCAUUGUUAUUUUUUUUUUCUUACCCUCCCAAACCAUUUGAAAACCCCGAGAAAUAGAGAAACACACACCUCUUUUUUCUCCUCUGCUUCACCGAUGAGCUAAUUAGAAAUUAACAAAAGCUGAAAUCAUCAUUUUUAGCAGUUUCAAAAUCAGUUUCAAAAAUCAAAACCAAACCCAUUUCAGUUUCAAGCUUCUUGGUCCUCUUCAG
rnacentral:lncRNA from 1 species